GCUGCAGGGAUUGGGUUAAGGAGGAGGAAGUGGUGGUGAGAAGAUACACUUUGCAUAAGUAUUUACAUGUUUUAAAAACUCUUUUUAUUUCACAAUGGAAAAAGUCUUUUGAAGCAAGCCUGUACAAUCUGGGGACAAUUUAAACAGAUUCAAAUUGUAAAGUUACAAGGGAAAUUGCAAAAGGAAACAGGAGGAGUCCAACCUUAAUGGGUCUAAAUCCCAGAGGCUCUGAGCCAAGCAGGCUCCAAAUCAUGCUCCUUAACUCCCACUUGUGCACCGCGUGAAUCCUUCCCCAGCCUCAGCAGUAACUGGAAAGUAGGAGAAGCAGAGAUCAUGGGGUGUUCAAGGACCCAAACUACACCAAGCCAAAUACUCAAGUCUGGGUCCCCAUAUCUGUUCCUGAGGAAAUUAUUUGUGAGCAGAUGGAGUGAAACAAGUAAAACUUGUGUUGGUGAAAAAUGAGCCUGUCUCUAGCGUGGACAAAGUCCCAAAGUAAAGCUCAACAAAAGCAGUCACUGUGACUCCCAUUGCUUUUGUCAGUCCCUGUGAUUUUACCUGCUGUAUCCUGCAUCCAGGGGGCUGUGGUUCCCACCAAAGAGAGAGAGGGAGAGAGAGAGAAAUCCCUGACAUUUAUCUCUUAAACAAGACAUGUGAGGAGCCAAAUGCCAUUUGACAGGACAAAUAUUUACUGUGCCUGCAAACAGCCCCGAACAUCAGUGCAGGGAACGUGAAGACUGAGCCAAGGCUGAUCAAAGUUCAACGGAGAUGCCAGGUCCCAAGAGCUGGGGAUUAAGGGCAUCAUUUAACACCGAACCACGGACAAGAUUUGUCUCGUUGGCUCCCUAUUCAAACCGGGCAUUUUAUUUUCAUUUCCUCGGUCCUCCACGGGCUCAUGUUCUUCAGGGCGGGGGGGCUGCAAGCCCUUUUCAUUCCCCUAAACUCUGAGCUCUUGGCCGAUCUUUCACACAGCAGUCAGCAGGAUUACAGGGUUGCGGAGUUCUUGUGAAGAUUUGCUCGUUCUCCUGCAGAAAGAAAAUUGGACUCCUGAAGACCCACAGGACCAUCACUGCUAAUAGCAAGCAGUGAGACAAGAGGCCCGUCGAGAAACCAUGGCCGGAAAAAGCACACAGAGACAUUUUUUUUGCAGCAGCGUCAGCAAAGCAGCCUCAUGGGGGAGGGCUGGGGGGAAUUUCCACUAACAAGCUUGACAGUUCUCCUGUAACUUGUAGAAGUCCUGCUUACUUCAGCAGCAUUAUUUUUCAGACAGAAGUGUCUGAUUAACUGCCUCCUAGAGCAAUGGUGUUUAAUUGACACCAGCCACAAAGCCGGCUGAGAAGUUUAUCUUCUUCUGCCUUUCACAUGAGAUCCUUUAAGUUCCCCGGCCACCGCGGGCCGCUUGGGAACAACUCUCUUCAUCCAUCUGGGCCCUGGUGUCCCCGUAGCCCUUCUUUCCCGGGGAAGCAGCAUCUAGAGGCUUCUACUCGCUCAGCUGCCCCUGGUCUGGUUAUACUGAGCAUGCUGUUUAACCUCUCAUGCUUCAGUUUUCGCAGCUAUCUAAGAUGUUGGGGAGGAAUUAAAUGAGAAAAUGUGUCUAAAGCUCUUAUGUGGCCUGCGAUUCACGUGGCAAGCAUUCAUUAAGCGUUAGCUCUCAUUAUCAUCUUGACGAAUGCCGGGCAGAGGAGUUAUCUGCCUUGGUCAGGAUAAAAGGAGCUGGACACAGGCUUUCAGUUCUACAAGAUGAAAAGAGCUCUGGAUGUGGAAGGUGGUGAUAGUUGCACAACAUUAUGAAUGUAUUUAAUACCACAGACCCACAUGCUUCCAAAGGGGCAUAUAUGUGUUUUACCACAACAAAAAAUUGCAAAAAAUAAAAGUAAAUAAAAAGGAUUAAAACAAAGGAGCUGAGUAUGGCAGAUAGAACAAUGGCUCCCCCCAAAAAUGUCCUCGUCCUCAUCCCUAGGACCUGUGAAAGUCACCUUACAUAACCACAGGGGCUUUGCAGAUGUGAUUAAUUUAAGAACCUGGGGAAGAGGAAAUCAUUCUGGAUCACCCAGGUGAAUCCAGUCACAAGAGUCCUCGUAUAAGAGAGAGGCAGGAGGUUCAGAGUCAGAGAAGGAUGUGAAGACAAAAGCAGAGGGUGGAAGAUACUACCCUGCUAGCUUUGAGGAUGAAGGAAGGUGGUCAGGAGCCAAGGAACACAGGAAGCCUCUAGAAGACGGAAAAUACAGCCAUCAGAAGGAACGGAGAGCCCUGCAGCAUCUUGAUCUUAGACCAGAGAACUUCUGACCUCCAGACCUGUGAAUGAUAAAUCUGUGGUAUUUUCA